CCUACGGGAGGCAGCAGUGGGGAAUCUUGCGCAAUGGCCGAAAGGCUGACGCAGCGACGCCGCGUGCGGGAUGACGCUUUUCGGAGUGUAAACCACUGUCAGGUGGGACGAAGGUCCCGGGGAGGAAAUGCCCUGGGGAUGACGGUACCACCAGAGGAAGCACCGGCUAACUUCGUGCCAGCAGCCGCGGUAAU
rnacentral:rRNA from 1 species